AACGAACGCUGGCGGCAUGCCUAACACAUGCAAGUCGAACGGGACGGCCGUGCCUGUUUGGGGUGGUGGGGGGGGCGAGGGGGGAGGUACCCGUAGGUAACGUACCCCUGCCUUUGGGGGGUGCUAAGGAAAGUUAGGGUCAUCUAAGCUAGGAUCUACCGCCGCUGGGUGGGGGUGGGAAAGUUUCGGCGGUUGGGGGUGGAAUCGCGGCUUAUGAGCUUGUUGGUGGGGUGGUGGCAUACCAAGGCCUGGACGGGUAGCCGGCCUGCGAGGGUGACCGGCCACAUUGGGCCUGAGAUACGGCACAGACUCCUACGGGAGGCAGCAGUGGGGAAUAUUGCACAAUGGGCGGAAGCCUGAUGCAGCAACGCCGCGUGCGGGAUGACGGCCUUCGGGUUGUAAACCGCUUUCGCCUGUGACGAAGCGUGAGUGACGGUAAUGGGUAAAGAAGCACCGGCUAACUACGUG
rnacentral:rRNA from 1 species